AACGCACAUUGCGCCCGCCAGUAUUCUGGCGGGCAUGCCUGUCCGAGCGUCAUUUCAACCCUCAGGCCCCUUCGGGCCUGGUGUUGGGGAUCGGCCGCAGCGCUAACCCGCCGCGGCCGGCCCCGAAAUCCAGUGGCGGCCUCGCUGUAGCGUCUCCUGCGUAGUAGAAAUAUCUCGCAGUGGAACGCGGCGACGGCCCCGCCGUAAAACCCCCAACUUUCUGACGUUGACCUCGGAUCAGGUAGGAAUACCCGCUGAACUUAA
rnacentral:misc_RNA from 1 species